AGCGAACGCUGGCGGCGUGCCUAACACAUGCAAGUCGAACGUUAAAGGGAGCAAUCCCUAGUAACGUGGCGUGCGGGGGAGUAACACGUAGGUAAUCUACCCCCGACUCUGGAAUAACCGGCCGCAAGUCGGGCCAAUACUGAAUAGAGCGUAGGAAUCCGAAACACAGUUUUUCGGUUAGAGAGACCUGUAUGCAGCCCUCCGUUCUGGGAUGACGCUGCGUUACAUCAGCUAGUUGGUGAGGUAAAAGCUUACCAAGGCGAUGACGGCUAGCUGGUCUGAGAGGACGAUCAGCCACACUGGAACUGAGACACGGGCCAGACUCCUACGGGAGGCAGCAGUAGGGAAUCUUGCGCAAUGGACGAAAGUCUGACGGAGCAACGCCGCGUGAGUGAAGAAGGCCUUCGGGUUGUAAAGCUCUGUUGAGUGGGACGAAAAUGCUUGGAGUUGAAAGGCUCAUGAACUGACGGUACCACUAAAGGAAGCACCGGCUAACUACGUG
rnacentral:rRNA from 1 species